UAGUUUUUAGUUUAAUUAAUAUUAUAAUCUUAUAUUAUACAUAAUGUAUAUAAAAUUUUUGAAAAUAUUUUUAAUAUAUAUGUUAGAUUUUAUUAGAAUAUCGUACAAUUAUAAGAUUAUUAGAAA
rnacentral:miRNA from 1 species